UGAUAGCGAUCGUUUUCACGAGGGCCCAUGUGACCAGUGUCUCGCGAGAGUUUUUCACACGAGGCUGCGGAAAGCAUUUGCGAGGCGUGUAUUUAGAUCCACAAAGAACGUGUCUGUUGACGAGCUGAGGCCCGACACUAAACAGCAGUGCAGCGGGAGAUUAAAGGCUGUCGAGUGGCGUUUGACUUCCUGCUGUGCGUGUCUUUGGCGUGCAGGUGGCACACCGGAGUGAGAGAGUCGAUUGAACUUCAGAAAAACACAGCCGAGAUGACUCACAGAGUGCAAAAAUGGCGAAAACUCAAAAGAAACCUAGAGCAACUUCUCAGACGUUCAGACAGUAGCGAUCAGGAUAGUGCUAGCGAGAAU